rnacentral:rRNA from 1 species
GACGAACGCUGGCGGCGUGCUUAACACAUGCAAGUCGAACGGAAAGGCCCUGCUUUUGUGGGGUGCUCGAGUGGCGAACGGGUGAGUAACACGUGAGUAACCUGCCCUUGACUUUGGGAUAACUUCAGGAAACUGGGGCUAAUACCGGAUAGGAGCUCCUGCUGCAUGGUGGGGGUUGGAAAGUUUCGGCGGUUGGGGAUGGACUCGCGGCUUAUCAGCUUGUUGGUGGGGUAGUGGCUUACCAAGGCUUUGACGGGUAGCCGGCCUGAGAGGGUGACCGGCCACAUGGGGACUAAGAUGCGCCCGAGACUCCUGCGGGAGGCAGCAGGGGGGAAUAUGGCACAAUGGGCGGAGGCCUGAUGCAGCAACUCCGCGGGGGGGAGGACGGCCUGCGGGUUGUAAACCGCGUGCCCCUGGGAAAAAGCGUGAGUGCCGGAGUGGGGUAAAGAAGCACCGCCUACCUACGUC